GCAGUGGUAGCUCAAUGGUUAGGAUGUGUUACUGCUGAUUGAUAGGUUGUGAGUUCAAAUCCCAGCACUGCA